GAGGGGAUUAGCUGGUAGGGGGAGGAUCAUUGUAGAGGAGAACCUUGAGGAGCAUGAAAGAGGGAUUCAUGAAGCAGGAUCCUGGAGAGAGACUGCUGUUAGACUAGUUCUGAGAGUAAAGAGGGAGAAAGAAGGAUUGUUUAAGCCUGUCAUGGACUGAAAAACCCACAGAGACACCUGGAUCUCAUGCCUGUGCCCCCUGGGGCCCAGGACAGCCUUUUUCCAGCACCGGAGGAAGUGAUAGACUGAGCGAGCUGGGCUACCCACAGCAAGGACUCUCUGAAUUUACCAUCCUACCUCAGAGCAACAAGAGGUUCCGUGCGUACUAAGGCUUUGAUGUGGGAGCACAGUUCCCCAUUCCUGUGGAGACGCCGGGGUGCUGAGCUAGCCUAUUCACCCUGAAAGCCUUAAGGAAUCCACACUCUACCUUCCAAAAGGAGGAGUAUUCCUUCCUGGUGAAGCAAGCAAGUUGGACGGAGCACUGGGCUGGAGCAGAGGAGAAGCGAGUGGUGGAGUGAGUUUUUUUUCAGCAGGACUGCUAAGCUGGAGAAGGCCAUUCUUAGCCCACAAGUGAAGAAGCUGUGAAGCUUCAGCCUGGACUACAAGGAAAAAAACCAAAGCAUUUGAAGCCAGAAUAAGAAGAUGGAUAGUAUAUUGUCAAAUACCAACAGAACAAAGGUUUGCUGCUGUGUGUUGUCUGAUGCUACCAAUGUAUUUUUACACUCUGUACUGCCCAGUGAGCUGUUUUCUCUUAUCUUCUCACCACUGACUGAAACAUAGCAAGUGCUGAGUCAAACUUUUAUCAUGUCAGACUGCAUCAGCAUAAUCAAAAUUUGUUUGGUGACAUUAUGGGACUAGAGAAGGACAUCAGCUGAGAAAGCAACAUGUGCUGGUGAUUCACAGAGUGGAAAGAGCAUGGAAGUAAAGGAUGUAGAAGUAAUGACACCACCUUUGAUUAAUCUUCACCUUGAUGCAGAGUGAGAUAUAUGAUUACAUACUCAUGAAGGAUGAAAAAGAGAUGUUCAGAAAGAUUUAAAUAUCAAAAAAGCAUACCUAAGAGAAUUUGUCCAAGUUCUCUAAAGUGUACACAGUAUGAAGAAAAUAAAAACCACCUGUUUUAAAAGACAUUAAAAAGUGGGACAUCUUCCAGAAUAAACCAUACUAUGUCUGCCAGGCAAAAGUAUCAGAAAGGACACAGAACUCUUUUUUUGCAUGACAAUCACUUUGUAUUGAAUAGGUAUAAAAUUACAUUGAAUAGGUACAAAAAACAAUGCCAGGAGCGUUCUGCUGCUGGGGUAAUGUUUUCAGUUGCUGAUGUUCACUAUGAGCAUGUCAGAAGGCUUCACUGCAUCAGGGAAAGAGGCUUACAUCCACCCUGAUAAAUCACAUGUAUAUGCGAAAUUCUGUUUUCUGUCUGUAAAGAGGAAUACUACCACUGGCAGCUUCUGCCACAGCUCAGUUAUAUGCAAAUAAAGGCUUAAAAAAGUGAAAGCAGGAAGAGUGUUGCCACUGUAAAAUUUACAUUCUGUAUCUCCUGUAUCACAGAGAUGAGAUGUAAUC